AUGGCAUCGCGAAGGAGGUGGCGUCGAGGCAGGUGGUCCACGACAUGGUCGAAAUGGGGGUCGCUACGAGCUCCUCCACAUUUAAGACUUAAUCGAAUGAUUACCCAACAGGUAAAAAGAGCUUUUGUUUCCUCUCAUCGAGAUAGAGGUAGGCAAAAGAGGGAUUUUCGUCGUUUGUGGAUCACUCGGAUAAACGCAGCAACGAAGAUGUACCUUGUGGGGUGGGGUACGAGUAGACCAGACCAAUGA
rnacentral:rRNA from 1 species